UACGGAAGGCAGCAGUGGGGAAUAUUGCACAAUGGGCGCAAGCCUGAUGCAGCCAUGCCGCGUGUAUGAAGAAGGCCUUCGGGUUGUAAAGUACUUUCAGUCGUGAGGAAGGUGUUAAGGUUAAUAACCUUAGCAAUUGACGUUAGCGACAGAAGAAGCGCCGGCUAACUCCGUGCCAGCAGCCGCGGUAAUACGGAGGGUGCGAGCGUUAAUCGGAAUUACUGGGCGUAAAGGGCACGCAGGCGGUUAAUUAAGUUGGAUGUGAAAUCCCCGGGCUUAACCUGGGAAUGGCAUUCAAGACUGGUUAGCUAGAGUCUUGUAGAGGGGGUAGAAUUCCAUGUGUAGCGGUGAAAUGCGUAGAGAUGUGGAGGAAUACCGGUGGCGAAGGCGGCCCCUGGGACAAAGACUGACGCUCAUGUGCGAAAGCGUGGGGAGCAAACAGGGAUUAGAUACC
rnacentral:rRNA from 1 species